AGGAACACAGCACAUGCGCAUGGGAGAUCACGCGAGUGGAGGUUCGCGACAACCUGGUGCAGUUCAAGAAAUUCCUCGACAUCAGAGUCAAGCCAUGAGGAAGAAGAGGGUUGACCAUUUCUAGUUCUGUUUCCGUAAAGAAAAGUCGAGAGCAUGUUUCCAGAGCAUGUUUACAAGAACACACAGAGCGAGGACGUCUCUGUGGUUGCAUUAGAGUCUUUGGAAUAUAUGACCCAAUUAUUUAACAGCCUGACUCCUUUCACAUGGAACAAAGAAACACUGAACCUGUUCAAAAACAGAUGACCUAGUUAAGUUAAGAAAUUGGAGGGAUGCGUCGGGUGUGGUGUUGGGGCAUCCUCUGGAGAUGGAGGGUCAGUGACUUCAGGCAAAG